GAUCCUGGCUCAGGAUGAACGCUAGCGACAGGCUUAACACAUGCAAGUCGAGGGGCAGCACGGUGUAGCGAUACACUGGUGGCGACCGGCGCACGGGUGAGUAACACGUGUGCAACCAACCCCGUACCGGGAGAUAACCCGCGGAAACGUGGACUAACAUCCCAUGACACUCUAGAGCCGCAUGGCUCUAGAUUUAAAAUUACCGGUGGUACGGGACGGGCACGCGCGACAUUAGUAGUUGGCGGGGUAAGGGGCCCG
rnacentral:rRNA from 1 species